rnacentral:rRNA from 1 species
UACGUAGGUGGCAAGCGUUGUCCGGAUUUACUGGGCGUAAAGAGCGCGCAGGCGGUCGUUCAAGUCGCGUGUGAAAGCCCCCGGCUCAACUGGGGAGGGUCACGCGAUACUGAUCGACUCGAAGGCAGGAGGGGGUAGUGGAAUUCCCGGUGUAGUGGUGAAAUGCGUAGAUAUCAGGAGGAACACCGGUGGCGAAGGCGGGUCUCUGGGCAAUAACUGACGCUGAGGAGCGAAAGCGUGGGGAGCGAACAGG